UUGCAAAAGAAACAAAAUUAAAUUACGUAGCUCAAGAAGCCUCUGUUUUAGGAGUACGUGGAUGAAUAUUUUCUGUAACAACACAUAACUGGUUUAAUUGAAAUGUACGUAAUAACUUGAUCCACAGGAUUAUAACAGUGGAAGAUCUAAAAGAUUCGGAUUUGUUGAAUUUGAAUCGCCUGAGUCCCACAAGAGGGCACUAGAACAGCAGCACAUUAUAAAUGGAGCAAAGGUUUUUGUUCAAUCAAGGCAGAGUGAGGAAAAGAACCCACGCGGCCGACGACACGAAGAUUUUACUGAAGUGUGACAAGUUACUUUUUUUCGCCGUGUGCAGCAUUUCUUGUUUUUUUGUUGUUGUUGUUCUGUAACAACCGAGGAUCCUUCAACUGCUCAGAAGCCUUUAACAAGAACAAUUAAAACCUUAUAUUAA